GUGAAGCGGCAAAAGCUCAAAUUUGAAAUCUGGCUCCUUUAGGGGUCCGAGUUGUAAUUUGCAGAGGAUGCUUCGGGAGCGGCCACGGCUUAAGUGCCUUGGAACAGGACGUCAUAGAGGGUGAGAAUCCCGUCUUGAGUCGUUGGUCCGCGCCCAUGUGAAGCUCCUUCGACGAGUCGAGUUGUUUGGGAAUGCAGCUCUAAGCGGGUGGUAAAUUUCAUCUAAAGCUAAAUAUUGGCCGGAGACCGAUAGCGCACAAGUAGAGUGAUCGAAAGGUUAAAAGCACCUUGAAAAGGGAGUUAAACAGCACGUGAAAUUGUUGAAAGGGAAGCGCUUGCGGCCAGACUCGGGUACAGGGUUCAGCGGGUGCGUGUCACCCGUGUACUCCCUGUUUCUCGGGCCAGCAUCAGUUCUGACGGCCGGUCAAAGGCCUCUGGAAUGUGUCGUCUUUCGGGACGUCUUAUAGCCAGGGGUGCAAUGCGGC
rnacentral:rRNA from 1 species